rnacentral:rRNA from 1 species
UUAAUUUAACUUGGGAGUCAGAACAUGUGGUAUUAGGUCCGUGUUCGAAAGGGAAACAGCCCAGCCCACCAGCUAAGGUCCCAUAAUAUAUGUUAAGUGGAAAAGGAUGUGGCGUUGCCCAGACAACUAGGAUGUUGUCUUAGAAGCAGCCAACAUAUAAAGAGUGCGUAAUAGCUCACAAGUCGAGUGACACUGCGCCGAAAAUGUAACUGGGCUAAACAUAUUACCGAAGCUGUGGAU